UGUUUUAGUGCGCAGAUGCGGGUGUCACGUGGUAAUGUGACGGGUUUCUUUCCGUCGCUUGUGGCUAACCUAUCGAUGUAUUAAACCGGCUAAUGUGAGGGACUCGUGUGGAAGAUUUGUUUAGUCUGUAAGCGUGCUAGCUAGCGAAUUAAUUUGAUAAGACAGUCUUCCAUUAGUUAAAUACUGCGCCAGAUCUCUGAUUUGAAUUGGCUGGAAGUUAUUCAGGUUGGAGAGGAGUCGGAAAUCAUCGUAAAGCGGAAGAAGGCAAGGAACGAUGUCAUACUACUCAUCCUCCCGUAGUUCAUCUCGGGCCACUGACUGUAAAGUGUAUGUGGGUGACCUGGGCAAUGGUGCUGCCAAGGGGGAGUUGGAGCGAGCCUUCAGUUAUUAUGGCCCACUGAGAAGUGUCUGGGUGGCCAGGAACCCGCCCGGGUUUGCCUUUGUAGAGUUUGAGGAUCCCAGAGAUGCAGAGGAUGCUGUGAAAGGCAUGGAUGGAAAGGUCCUUUGUGGUUCCCGUGUUCGUGUGGAAAUGUCAACGGGCCUCUCCAGGAAGGGUCGUGGGCGCCCCAGCCGACGCCAGUUCGACCCCAAUGAUAGGUGCUACCAGUGUGGGGACCGGGGCCACUAUGCCUAUGACUGCUAUCGCUUCAGCAAGCGAGGCCGUCGCAGCAGGUCUCGCUCUCGCUCUCGUUCUCGCUCCAGGUCCAGAUCCCGUGCGCGGCGCUACCGCUCCCGCUCCCGCAGCCGUAGCCACAGUCGGAGUCGUCGCCGAUCUCCAUCCUAUUCCAGGCACAGGAGCAGGUCCGGCUCACCGGCCCGUUCCAAGUCGAGGACUCCAGUGAGAAGUCGCUCCAGAUCUCGGUCUCGUUCUGGCUCUGCACCCAGGGGACGCUCUGCCUCCCGAUCCCACUCACGAUCUCCGUCAACGAACCACAAGAGGAACAGCGUGUGGUGGGAGCUGAGCACUGCACUGACACCGCAGCUGAUCCCAGGCCCAGGGUCUGCCAGCUGGCGGUGUGCACGUCCUGCGGGAGGGUGACUAAGCGCUGACCUGAGAUCAGCCUUCGCCAGCAUCUGGGGUUAGACAGCGAGACAGAGGUCGACCUACCGACCGAACCUUCCCCACAGUGUUCAACCGACGCACACGCUCAGACGAGAUCAGCCCGCGCACACAUACAGUUGUUCUACUAGAGUCACCCAGCCAGCCUUCAGAUGUACCAGGGGGCUGACCCACACAGAUCAGAGUGCAACCACUACCUUUUUAAAUCCAUUACCUUCCUACCAGACCCCCCUACCUACCAGAGUUCUUCAGCCUCUGUCUUAGCUUCUGAAAGUGAGAGAAAGAGAGCUGACGAGAGAUCAGUCUUCAAGAGCCUCCCAGCGCAGUGUCUCUGCAAGUUGUAGUCAUCCGUCCUUCAGUCCUUUCAUCCUUCGCUUCUCUGUACUUGUUGUUUCUGCCACUGUCUCCAAAGUCGUUCCCGUUCAGCAAGUCCCAACCAAAGUCCUACGCCAGCAGACGACUGAGUGAAGAAGACUUUUAAUCCCCUCUACCACUCUCCCUAACAGACAGACCCCCAGCCCCUGCACCCUGUCUGCUUUUACAGCCCUACAGCAGCUGAUUUUUGUACCCGUCUCUAUAGUCCCAGUCUUAAGUUUAGUUUUCUCCUCCAUCUUCGUACCGCCUCAGGCUGUUGACAAAUUAGUCAGUGCAGCAGACAGGAAUCACUUUCCAUUCGAUAAAUAUUGUUUUAAAUGUUCUUGCUGCUGUGUAGGCCAUAUUUCUUCUCGGACACCACAUAGCAAGUGUAAGAAGCAGCAGCUGUGGUAGGUUAAUACUGAAUGUUGCAGGUGACUUUUAGCAGUGAUUUUGGGAAGGUCACAAAGUAAAAGGCAGCUGGAGAUAGCCAAGUUGAGGGUGAGGUCAUUGCAUUGAAAAACUGCUUUUAUUCCCUAAACUCAGUUUUCUGAACCUUAAAUAUGUUCCCUGUUUAGAAUAAACUAUGUAUUUCUUGCAUUGCACUCCAGUUUAAUUUGAGUUCAGAUGCUGUUAAACACAACAGCAUGAGGAGGAGCUGGUUGCUGGUC